rnacentral:rRNA from 1 species
UACGUAGGGUGCGAGCGUUGUCCGGAAUUAUUGGGCGUAAAGAGCUCGUAGGCGGUGUGUCGCGUCGGUCGUGAAAACUUGGGGCUUAACUCUGAGCUUGCGGUCGAUACGGGCAUCACUGGAGUUCGGCAGGGGAGACUGGAAUUCCUGGUGUAGCGGUGAAAUGCGCAGAUAUCAGGAGGGAACACCGGUGGGCGAAGGCGGGUCUCUGGG